rnacentral:rRNA from 1 species
AUGGCGAAGCCGCAGCAGGAGGUCUACUUCGUCUUCAUGAACUUCGACCCUGUCUACGAGCGCCUAAGGGCCGAUCGGACGAAGCAGGGGUCGGCGACGCUGGACGCGUACCUGAGCCAGAAGCACGAUAAGCUCCUCGCCAAGCUCCUCCAGCCCGACACCUACUGGAAGAAGUCCUCGCUGGCCAUCGUCGACGGAUUCGCCGUCGAGAUCACCGACGCUCAGGUCACCGCCCCGCCUAUAACCUCACAUGCAUCAUGGAUGUACAUGGAUCCUCAUACAUGCUCACCUCUACUGUACAUGAAUCUUCUCUUACACCCUGAUUGCACACAUGAGCGACUUAACUAUAUACUGAUGCAGGCCAGCGUGCUGAGGUCGGCCAAGGAGGUGAGGGUGGUGGAGAAGAACCAGGAGCUUGCUUGA